rnacentral:rRNA from 1 species
GACGAACGCUGGCGGCGUGCUUAACACAUGCAAGUCGAGCGGUAAGGCCCUUUCGGGGUACGACGAGCGGCGAACGGGUGAGUAACACGUGGGUGACCUGCCCUCAGCUCUGGGAUAAGCCCGGGAAACUGGGUCUAAUACCGGAUAUGACUCCAUGACGCAUGUUGUGGGGUGGAAAGCCUUGUGCGGCUGAGGAUGGGCCCGCGGCCUAUCAGCUUGUUGGUGGGGUGAUGGCCUACCAAGGCGACGACGGGUAGCCGGCCUGAGAGGGCGACCGGCCACACUGGGACUGAGAUACGGCCCAGACUCCUACGGGAGGCAGCAGUGGGGAAUCUUGCGCAAUGGGCGAAAGCCUGACGCAGCGACGCCGCGUGAGGGAUGACGGCCU